rnacentral:rRNA from 1 species
UGGGGAAUUUUGGGCAAUGGGCGAAAGCCUGACCCAGCAACGCCGCGUGAAGGAUGAAGUAUUUCGGUAUGUAAACUUCGAAAGAAUAGGAAGAAUAAAUGACGGUACUAUUUAUAAGGUCCGGCUAACUACGUGCCAGCAGCCGCGGUAAUACGUAGGGACCAAGCGUUGUUCGGAUUUACUGGGCGUAAAGGGCGCGUAGGCGGCAAUUCAAGUCAUCUGUGAAAUCUCCGGGCUUAACUCGGAACGGUCAGAUGAUACUGCUUUGCUAGAGUGCAGAAGGGGCAAUCGGAAUUCUUGGUGUAGCGGUGAAAUGCGUAGAUAUCAAGAGGAACACCUGAGGUGAAGACGGGUUGCUGGGCUGACACUGACGCUGAGGCGCGAAAGCCAGGGGAGCAAACGGGAUUAGAUACCCACGUAGUCCCUGAGCGGGCUGGCAAGGCGCAU